rnacentral:rRNA from 1 species
UACGAAGGGGGCUAGCGUUGCUCGGAAUCACUGGGCGUAAAGGGCGCGUAGGCGGCCUGAUAAGUCGGGGGUGAAAGCCUGUGGCUCAACCACAGAAUUGCCUUCGAUACUGUUAGGCUUGAGACCGGAAGAGGUGAGUGGAACUGCGAGUGUAGAGGUGAAAUUCGUAGAUAUUCGCAAGAACACCAGUGGCGAAGGCGGCUCAC